rnacentral:rRNA from 1 species
UACGUAGGGUGCGAGCGUUACUCGGAAUUACUGGGCGUAAAGCGUGCGCAGGCGGUCUCGCAAGUCCGAUGUGAAAUCCCCGGGCUUAACCUGGGAAUGGCAUUGGUGACUGCACGGCUAGAGUGUGUCAGAGGGGGGUAGAAUUCCACGUGUAGCAGUGAAAUGCGUAGAGAUGUGGAGGAAUACCGAUGGCGAAGGCAGCCCCCUGGGAUAACACUGACGCUCAUGCACGAAAGCGUGGGGAGCAAACAGG